rnacentral:rRNA from 1 species
UACGUAGGGGGCAAGCGUUGUCCGGAAUUAUUGGGCGUAAAGAGCGCGUAGGCGGUCCGGUAAGUCGGCCGUGAAAGUCAAGGGCUCAACCCUUGAAAGCCGGCCGAUACUGUCGGACUAGAGUCCGGAAGAGGCGAGUGGAAUUCCCGGUGUAGCGGUGAAAUGCGCAGAUAUCAGGAGGAACACCCAUUGCGAAGGCAGCUCGCUGGGACGUUACUGACGCUGAGACGCGAAAGCGUGGGGAGCAAACAGG